GUAGCUGGGACUACGGGCGCCCAUCACCACACCCGGCUAAUUUUUUGUAUCUUUAGUAGAGACGGGGUUUCACUAUGUUGGCCAGACUGGUCUCGAACUCCUGACCUCAGGUGAUCUGCCUGCCUCAGCCUCCCAAAGUGCUGGGAUUACAGGCGUGAGCCACCGCUCUCGGCUGAAGAUCCAUUUUAAGAAGAUUUAUUCCUCUAUGAUGGAGAAGUAUGAAAAAAUUGGGAAAAUUGGAGAAGGAUCCUAUGGAGUUGUUUUCAAAUGUAGAAACAGGGACACGGGUCAGAUUGUGGCCAUCAAGAAGUUUCUGGAAUCAGAAGAUGAUCCUGUCAUAAAGAAAAUCGCCCUUCGAGAAAUCCGAAUGCUCAAGCAACUCAAGCAUCCCAACCUUGUCAACCUCCUGGAAGUCUUCAGGAGGAAACGGAGGCUUCAUCUGGUGUUCGAAUAUUGUGACCACACAGUUCUCCAUGAGUUGGACAGAUACCAAAGAGGUGACCACAGCACAGACUUUUCAUGUUUCAGAAUGUUAAUUUACAUAGCCAGAGAGAGCCAAGAGGACAGACACCUCCCUUCAGAAAGUCAUCGAUACAGAGAAAUUAUGUUUUCAAAGGAGAAAACAUUUUGUAUGUUGAUAUUUGAUCUUUUGAUGGCUUGCAAGUGACACUUCAAUUAAACUUAUGAAUAUAAGUUACUCAUGG
rnacentral:sRNA from 1 species